rnacentral:rRNA from 1 species
AUACGGAGGGGGCUAGCGUUGUUCGGAAUUACUGGGCGUAAAGCGCGCGCAGGCGGGCUGAUAAGUUGGAUGUGAAAGCCUACGGCUCAACCGUAGAACUGCAUCCAAAACUGUCAGUCUAGAGUCUGGGAGGGGAAGAUGGAAUUAGUUGUGUAGGGGUAAAAUCCGUAGAGAUAACUAGGAAUACCAAAAGCGAAGGCGAUCUUCUGGAACAGUACUGACGCUGUGGCGCGAAAGCGUGGGGAGCAAACAGGAUUAGAAACCCUAGUAGUCC